rnacentral:rRNA from 1 species
AUGACCCAACUUGAAAGAUUCAGUCGUAAGUUGAAGAACUGUUUGUUGGUCACAGAAUUUUCUUUCAUUGUCAGGAUGUUGAUUCUUCUCAAGAAAGAAAAAAGCGACAAGUCUGUGGGGAUGAUAUCUCUGCCCGUUGCUCCACUUGAGUGUUUUAUGCAGAACCAUCGAAGCAGUCUUGAAGCUGCAGUGCCAUCUGUGUGCUCGUCUUCUAGGUCUUUAUAUUCAGAAAAAGAGAAUGUCUUUGUGGUGUUGAAUGCUUGCUGCUCCUUACAAAAAAGUAAACAAAAGAAAUACUUGCAGCAUUAG